AACGCAUCUUGCGCUCCUUGGUAUUCCGAGGAGCAUGCCUGUUUGAGUGUCAUUAAAUUCUGUCAAAACAUACACUUGAGUGUGUUUUGGAUUGUGGGAGUGUCUGCUGGCUUUAUGAGCCAGCUCUCCUGAAAGACAUUAGCUUUGGGGGGGAGGUGCCAAGUCACUUCUGCCUUUCCAUUGGUGUGAUAGAUGAAUUAACUUAUCUACGCCAGGAAAGCAGGCUGCAGGUGAUGCACUGUGAUCUCUCUCUGCUCUCUAAUUGACAUUUUGUCUGAUAACUUGACCUCAAAUCAGGUAGGACUACCCGCUGAACUUAA
rnacentral:misc_RNA from 3 species